AAGUCGUAACAAGGUUUCUGUAGGUGAACCUAUAGAAGGAUUAUUACCUUUCUAGCUAUUUAAUAGCUUGUUGGGGGGCUAUAGUCUCUAUAGCCUCUAACCAAAUCUGUGUUUUUUACGUACUACAUAUUUCCUUAGCAGGCUUACUUACUGGUUAGACAACCUAAAACUCUUUGCAAUUACAAUUAGCGUCUAAAUUAUUUAAUAAUUAUAA
rnacentral:misc_RNA from 1 species